rnacentral:misc_RNA from 1 species
UUUCCGUAGGUGAACCUGCGGAAGGAUCAUUAAAAAUGAAGCCGGGAAACCGGUCCUUCUAACCCUUGAUUAUCUUAAUUUGUUGCUUUGGUGGGCCGCGCAAGCACCGGCUUCGGCUGGAUCGUGCCCGCCAGAGGACACAACUCUGUAUCAAAUGCCGACUGAGUACUAUAAAAUAGUUAAAACUUUCAACAACGGAUCUCUUGGUUCUG